UACGUAGGGUGCAAGCGUUGUCCGGAAUUAUUGGGCGUAAAGAGCGUGUAGGCGGCCCGGUAAGUCCGCUGUGAAAGUCGGGGGCUCAACCCUCGGAUGCCGGUGGAUACUGUCGGGCUAGAGUGCGGAAGAGGCGAGUGGAAUUCCUGGUGUAGCAGUGAAAUGCGCAGAUAUCAGGAGGAACACCGGUGGCGAAGGCGGGUCUCUGGGCAACAACUGACGCUGGAGGAGCGAAAGCGUGGGGAGCGAACAGG
rnacentral:rRNA from 1 species